UCCAUCUGCCCAUGCCAACUUCAUCUCUGUGUAAAUUUUCAAUAGCCCUCUACUCCCUCCGAUCAGCCACCGUGACAGCUCCGAUCACUCCAUCGUGUAACAUGUAACACACUUCAUCAAUUCAAGCUAUCAAUUCCCCCUUUUUCCUCUCAAUUUUAGAGCUUAGGUUGCAAACCCACAUCCACUUAUCUUUGGAAAAUAGUUGAAAUUAGAGGUGAACACGGUGCAAGCACAAGCAAUAAGGGAAAGGAGUACCUCCAUGGUUGACUAAGCCAGUAAUAGCGUUUUUUUGACGUGUACAGAGUAUAGAAGCGAGUGAACUCGCUAGUUGGCAGCAGCACGUGUCAAGUCACCACCUCUUUUUUUUGCUGGUACAGUCGGAGUUUACACGUGGCAUGCUUAGGUUAUCUUUUGUUGUAAAUAGUUGGGUUACAAACGUAAGGUUAUAACCUUCUUUUUGCUAGUGGAGUUGUAUAUAUCUAUCUAAACAGGUUAAUGUUAUUUUGUUAUGUAUAGUUGUAAUCAGUUGUGUUA